UACGUAGGGGGCAAGCGUUGUCCGGAUUUAUUGGGCGUAAAGAGCGUGUAGGCGGCUUUACAGGUCCGUUGUGAAAACUCGAGGCUCAACCUCGAGACGCCGGUGGAAACCGUAAAGCUAGAGUCCGGAAGAGGAUAGUGGAAUUCCUGGUGUAGCGGUGAAAUGCGCAGAUAUCAGGAAGAACACCCGUGGCGAAGGCGGCUCUCUGGGACGGUACUGACGCUGAGACGCGAAAGCGUGGGGAGCAAACAGG
rnacentral:rRNA from 1 species